rnacentral:rRNA from 1 species
UGGAGCGUGUGGUUUAAUUCGAUGCUACGCGAAAAACCUUACCAGGGUUUGACAUGUGGGUGGUAGGGAUCCGAAAGGUGACCGACUCUUCGGAGAGCCCUCACAGGUGCUGCAUGGCUGUCGUCAGCUCGUGUCGUGAGACGUUCGGUUAAGUCCGCUAACGAGCGCAACCCUCGUCGUGUGUUACAAGUGUCACGCGAGACCGCCGGUGUCAAGCCGGAGGAAGGUGAGGAUGACGUCAAGUCAGCAUGGCCUUUAUAUCUUGGGC